rnacentral:rRNA from 1 species
GACGAACGCUGGCGGCGUGCUUAACACAUGCAAGUCGAACGGCAAGGCCCUGCUUUUGUGGGGUGCUCGAGUGGCGAACGGGUGAGUAACACGUGAGUAACCUGCCCUUGACUUUGGGAUAACUUCAGGAAACUGGGGCUACUACCGGAUAGGAGCUCCUGCUGCAUGGUGGGGGUUGGAAAGUUUCGGCGGUUGGGGAUGGACUCGCGGCUUAUCAGCUUGUUGGUGGGGUAGUGGCUUACCAAGGCUUUGACGGGUAGCCGGCCUGAGAGGGUGACCGGCCACAAUGGGACUGAGAGACGGCCCAGACUCCUACGGGAGGCAGCAGUGGGGAAUAUUGCACAAUGGGCGGAAGCCUGAUGCAGCAACGCCGCGUGCGGGAUGACGGCCUUCGGGUUGUAAACCGCUUUCGCCUGUGACGAAGCGUGAGUGACGGUAAUGGGUAAAGAAGCACCGGCUAACUACGUG